UACGUAGGGUCCGAGCGUUGUCCGGAAUUAUUGGCCGUAAAGGGCUCGUAGGCGGUUUGUCGCGUCGGGAGUGAAAACACGGGGCUUAACCCCGUGCCUGCUUCCGAUACGGGCAGACUAGAGGUAUGCAGGGGAGAACGGAAUUCCUGGUGUAGCGGUGAAAUGCGCAGAUAUCAGGAGGAACACCGGUGGCGAAGGCGGUUCUCUGGGCAUUACCUGACGCUGAGGAGCGAAAGUGUGGGGAGCGAACAGG
rnacentral:rRNA from 1 species